rfam:Ixodes scapularis strain Wikel colony gcontig_1107729018904, whole genome shotgun sequence.
CCCUGGUUAGCUCAGUUGGUCGAGCGCUCCACUUGUAAUGGAGAGGUCCCGCGUUCGAUACUCGGACCAGGCG